rnacentral:rRNA from 1 species
ACUUAAGCAUAUCAAUAAGCGGAGGAAAAGAAACCAACAGGGAUUGCCUCAGUAACGGCGAGUGAAGCGGCAACAGCUCAAAUUUGAAAUCUGGCCUCGGCCCGAGUUGUAAUUUGUAGAGGAAGCUUUUGGUGCGGCACCGACCGAGUCCCCUGGAACGGGGCGCCAUAGAGGGUGAGAGCCCCGUAUGGUUGGACGCCUAUCCUCUGUAAAGCUCCUUCGACGAGUCGAGUAGUUUGGGAAUGCUGCUCAAAAUGGGAGGUAAAUUUCUUCUAAAGCUAAAUAUUGGCCAGAGACCGAUAGCGCACAAGUAGAGUGAUCGAAAGAUGAAAAGCACUUUGAAAAGAGGGUUAAAUAGCACGUGAAAUUGUUGAAAGGGAAGCGCUUGUGACCAGACUUGCGCCUCGUCGAUCAUCCGGGGUUCUCCCCGGUGCACUCGGCGGGGCUCAGGCCAGCAUCGGUUUUCGUGGGGGGACAAAGGCACCGGGAACGUAGCUCCUCCGGGAGUGUUAUAGCCCGGGGCGUAAUGCCCUCGCGGGGACCGAGGACCGCGCUUCGGCAAGGAUGCUGGCGUAAUGGUCAUCAGCGACCCGU